rnacentral:rRNA from 1 species
UACGUAGGGUGCAAGCGUUGUCCGGAAUUAUUGGGCGUAAAGAGCGCGCAGGCGGUCGUUCAAGUCGCGUGUGAAAGCCCCCGGCUCAACUGGGGAGGGUCACGCGAUACUGAUCGACUCGAAGGCAGGAGAGGGUAGUGGAAUUCCCGGUGUAGUGGUGAAAUGCGUAGAGAUCGGGAGGAACAUCAGUGGCGAAGGCGGCCAUCUGGGACAACACUGACGCUGAAGCACGAAAGCGUGGGGAGCAAACAGG